CCACGCCGUAAACGAUGAGUGCUAGGUGUUGGGGAGGAAUCCUCGGUGCCGCAGCAAACGCAAUAAGCACUCCACCUGGGGAGUACGACCGCAAGGUUGAAACUCAAAGGAAUUGACGGGGGCCCGCACAAGCGGUGGAGCAUGUGGUUUAAUUCGAAGCAACGCGAAGAACCUUACCAAGGCUUGACAUCCCGAUGACCGUCUCAGAGAUGAGGCUUCUCUUCGGAGCAUCGGUGACAGGUGGUGCAUGGUUGU
rnacentral:rRNA from 1 species